CAGUCGCCACGGGAAUACGAAGGGGGCUAGCGUUGCUCGGAAUGACUGGGCGUAAAGGGCGCGUAGGCAGCGAUCAAAGUCAGGCGUGAAAUUCCUGGGCUCAACCUGGGGGCUGCGCUUGAUACUUGGUUGCUUGAGUGGGGAAGAGGGUCGUGGAAUUCCCAGUGUAGAGGUGAAAUUCGUAGAUAUUGGGAAGAACACCGGUGGCGAAGGCGACCACCUGGACUAAUACUGACACUGAGGUGCGAAAGCGUGGGGAGCAAACAGGAUUAGAUACCCGCGUAGUCCCUGUCUCUUAUAA
rnacentral:rRNA from 1 species